GUACCAGAUGUUGAAUAUAAAUUCCCAUUGCUUGCAAAAAAUGAAAAACGUGGCUUAAGAUUUCAGCAUAAAUGGCUAAAAGAAUUUAAUUGGCUGGCGUAUUCAAAUGUCAAAAAUGGGACAUUCUGUAAAUACUGUGUACUGUUUGCAAAAAAUGGUGGUGUUGGAAGCCAGCCUUUGGGUAGCCUUGUUACUGUUGCUUUCAGCAACUGGAAGAAGGCAAAAGAGACUUUUCGGGCUCGUGGAAGUUUGAAAUAUCAUACAUUGUCUGUUCUAGACUCUGAACACUUUUUAAAAUAAUAGAAAAAAAGGAACUGUCUAUAAUAGAACGCAUAGAUAAUAAUAGAAUGGUACAAAUUGAAGAAAAUGGAAGGAAAAUAGGACCAAUUAUUGAGUGUAUAAUUCUAUGUGGUAAAGAAGAGUUGGCUUUGAGAGGACAUAGAGAUUUUGGUGAUAUCUUAGUAGAUGAUGAUUCAAGGCAAGGCCAUUUCCGUGGUAUUCUCAAGUACAGAGCAAAAGGAGAUGAAUUUUUGCGUAAUGUUCUUGAGGGUUCAGGGAAACGUAAUAAAUAUACGAGUCCAAUUAUACAAAAUGAAAUAAUUCAGUCAUGUAACACAAUUUUACUAAGGAAACUAGUUAAUGUGAUUAAUAAAUCUAAAUGUUUCUCUGCUCUGGCUGAUGAAACAACCGACAUAUCGACUAAAGAGCAACUCAGUAUAUGUGUUUGAUAUAUUGAUAAAAACAAUAAGUUGCAUGAGAACUUUUUACGAUUUUUUGAAAUUGAUAGCUUGACUGGUUAUGACUUGGCUAACUCAAUAUUAAAUGGCUUAAACAGAUGUGGAAUUGAUU